CAUGUAAUGGCGGAUUGUUGUGUUGUUGUCAAAAGUUCCUAUUUUUCCACCAAAUUACCGAUUAAUUCAUAAGAAGGAACGCGAAAGGAAGCAUCAGCCUUCAAGUAGCUAUCAACAACCCUUUCAUAAUCGACUUUCUGCUGAAUGCAUCAUCCAGUUAAUACAGGUCACUAAUCCCAGCGUGGACAUGUAUUGUUUUUUUCCGAACAUGUUUUACUACAAAUGUUGCAUUGACAGACAAGGAAAGCUAUGGAAAACAUUAUGUAGGACAUGAGUAAUCUUAGAAGUCACGUGAAAAGAUGCAGGGCAGGGCACUUACC
rnacentral:lncRNA from 1 species